rnacentral:sRNA from 1 species
UCGUCGACCUGCUGCGGGCAGAUGAAGUGAAUGUGCGUGUCGAUCGCGCCCGCGGUGAGGAUCUUGCCUUCGCCGGCGAUCACCUCGGUGCCCGGGCCGACGAUGAUGGUCACGCCCGGCUGCGUGUCCGGGUUGCCGGCCUUGCCGAUCGCGACGAUGCGCCCGUCCUUCAAUCCGACGUCGGCCUUGACGAUGCCCCAGUGAUCGAGAAUCACCGCGUUGGUGACGACGGUGUCGACCGCGCCCUGCGCACGCGUGAUCUGCGACUGGCCCAUGCCGUCGCGA